GGGGGGGGUGCUAUACUGCAGUCGAACGCUUCUUUUCCCACCGGAGCUUGCUCCACCGGGAAAAGAGGAGUGGCGAACGGGUGAGUAACACGUGGGUAACCUGCCCAUCAGAAGGGGAUAACACUUGGAAACAGGUGCUAAUACCGUAUAACAAUCGAAACCGCAUGGUUUCGAUUUGAAAGGCGCUUUACGGUGCCGCUGAUGGAUGGACCCGCGGUGCAUUAGCUAGUUGGUGAGGUAACGGCUCACCAAGGCCACGAUGCAUAGCCGACCUGAGAGGGUGAUCGGCCACAUUGGGACUGAGACACGGCCCAAACUCCUACGGGAGGCAGCAGUAGGGAAUCUUCGGCAAUGGACGAAAGUCUGACCGAGCAACGCCGCGUGAGUGAAGAAGGUUUUCGGAUCGUAAAACUCUGUUGUUAGAGAAGAACAAGGGUGAGAGUAACUGUUCACCCCUUGACGGUAUCUAACCAGAAAGCCACGGCUAACUACGUGCCAGCAGCCGCGGUAAUACGUAGGUGGCAAGCGUUGUCCGGAUUUAUUGGGCGUAAAGCGAGCGCAGGCGGUUUCUUAAGUCUGAUGUGAAAGCCCCCGGCUCAACCGGGGAGGGUCAUUGGAAACUGGGAGACUUGAGUGCAGAAGAGGAGAGUGGAAUUCCAUGUGUAGCGGUGAAAUGCGUAGAUAUAUGGAGGAACACCAGUGGCGAAGGCGGCUCUCUGGUCUGUAACUGACGCUGAGGCUCGAAAGCGUGGGGAGCAAACAGGAUUAGAUACCCUGGUAGUCCACGCCGUAAACGAUGAGUGCUAAGUGUUGGAGGGUUUCCGCCCUUCAGUGCUGCAGCUAACGCAUUAAGCACUCCGCCUGGGGAGUACGACCGCAAGGUUGAAACUCAAAGGAAUUGACGGGGGCCCGCACAAGCGGUGGAGCAUGUGGUUUAAUUCGAAGCAACGCGAAGAACCUUACCAGGUCUUGACAUCCUUUGACCACUCUAGAGAUAGAGCUUCCCCUUCGGGGGCAAAGUGACAGGUGGUGCAUGGUUGUCGUCAGCUCGUGUCGUGAGAUGUUGGGUUAAGUCCCGCAACGAGCGCAACCCUUAUUGUUAGUUGCCAUCAUUUAGUUGGGCACUCUAGCAAGACUGCCGGUGACAAACCGGAGGAAGGUGGGGAUGACGUCAAAUCAUCAUGCCCCUUAUGACCUGGGCUACACACGUGCUACAAUGGGAAGUACAACGAGUCGCGAAGUCGCGAGGCUAAGCUAAUCUCUUAAAGCUUCUCUCAGUUCGGAUUGUAGGCUGCAACUCGCCUACAUGAAGCCGGAAUCGCUAGUAAUCGCGGAUCAGCACGCCGCGGUGAAUACGUUCCCGGGCCUUGUACACACCGCCCGUCACACCACGAGAGUUUGUAACACCCGAAGUCGGUGAGGUAACCUUUUUGGAGCCAGCCGCCUAAGCUAAUGU
rnacentral:rRNA from 1 species